UACGUAGGUGGCAAGCGUUAUCCGGAUUUAUUGGGCGUAAAGGGUGCGUAGGUGGUUUCUUAAGUCAGAGGUGAAAGGCUACGGCUCAACCGUAGUAAGCCUUUGAAACUGGGGAACUUGAGUGCAGGAGAGGAGAGUGGAAUUCCUAGUGUAGCGGUGAAAUGCGUAGAUAUUAGGAGGAACACCAGUUGCGAAGGCGGCUCUCUGGACUGUAACUGACGCUGAGGUUCGAGAGCGUGGGUAGCAAACAGG
rnacentral:rRNA from 1 species